CCCGCUGAACUUAAGCAUAUCAGUAAGCGGAGGAAAAGAAAAUAACAAUGAUUACCUCAGUAGCGGCGAGUGAAGAGGUAAAAGCCCAAGAUGUAAAUCUGCUCGAAAAAGCGGAAUUGUAAUCUAUGGAAUAACUCAGAAAAUCAAGAUCACUCAUAAGUCCCUUGGAACAGGGUACCAUAGAGGGUGAAAGUCCCGUCUUUGGAGUGAUUGAGAUAAUAUGAGAUGUUUCCAAGAGUCGGGUAGUUUGGGAAUGCUGCCCUAAUUGGGAGAUAAACUUCUUCUAAGGCUAAAUAUUUAUAGGAGACCGAUAGCAUACAAGUACUGCGAAGGAAAGAUGAAAAGAACUUUGAAAAGAGGGUUAAAAGACUUGAAAUCGUUGAAAAGGAAGCAGUAAAAGAGAAAUGAAUCCUACCAAAUUAACUAUCGUCAUAAGUUAUACGGACCAGAGUAUCUCAUAGAGCUCUUGCUGGAUAAUGAAAGAUGAGAAAAUUUUUGGUGGAGAUGGACAAAAUGAGAUUUACUUCUAAGAAUAAGGUGAAAGUUUAUUCAAUUGCUUGAAGUUAGAAGUAAGUCUGAGGGAUAAUCUUAUGAUUUUGUCAAAAUGGCUUUUACUGACCCGUCUUGAAACACGG
rnacentral:rRNA from 1 species